UCUCCCGUGAGGGAGCAGUCUCGCCUGACACUUGUAACAGGCAACGAGGGUUGCGUUCGUUUCCCCACUUAAGGGAACAGCUCAAGCCACGAACUGACGACGGCCAUGCAUCACCUGCCAUACACCCUCUAAGGCUUCUCCGCUUUCACGGAGCGUGCAGUAUGGUUUCUAGCCUUGGUAAGGUUCCUCGCUUACCGACGAAUUAAGCCCCAUGAUCCACCGCUUGUGCGAGCCCCCGUCUAUUCCUUUGAGUUUUAAUCUUGCGAUCGUACUACCCAGGCGGUCCGCUUAAUGCGUUAGCUACGCCACAGAGAGGGUCGAUACUCCCUAUAGCUAGCGGACAGUGUUUAGGGCGUGGACUAC
rnacentral:misc_RNA from 1 species